GUGCAGAGGAUCAGCAUUGAAAGGAAGAGUAGAAUUCCAAGUGGCCAUCUGAUGGUCAGGAUGAACUGGUAUAUUCCUGGGUCCUUGAACAACAGCAGCAUAACUGUUACGUUGCAGGACUGCUUGACUAGGAAGCUCAGUGGAACCUGGCACUUGAACUGGAGUUCCAAUAUUAUGGGAAGAUGCACCAUGUUCUGAAAUCGGUCGAGGAUCCACUCUACUGACUUCUGAGAAAUUCUCAACAUCAACAGAUUGAUCCUCGUCCGAAUUACCAUCUGCCUGUAAAGGUUCCAUCGUCUCCCCAUCCAAAUGAUGAGAAGAUCCAAGGUUUGGCAUAAA
rnacentral:misc_RNA from 1 species